rnacentral:lncRNA from 1 species
CUAUACAUUGUUCUGGUACGUAUUUGCAUGCUUUAUGUAUUUGUGUGUGUGUGCAAAUAUAUACCAGAACAAUGGUAUAUAUUUAAUCUUUAACUCCCUAUAAUCUCCUUUUAAUCUCCCUGUAAGCGUGUAUUUGGUGUUUUUAUCUAACUUUACGAAGUCUUAAUUGAAACCUCUUUGAAACCCGCUAUAAGAUACCUUUGGAUCGAAUUAUAUUUCCAGGAAGCGGAUCUGGCAAUAAGGAACAACCAGGUCCCUCUGGUCUCCCAAAUAUUCCUUCCCUGGGGUAGCCUCCUCUACUCGAGGAGACUAUAGGAACUGGUUUGUUUCUAAGGAUGGCUAUUCCACAAAAUUAUGUCAUGAAUUAAAAAUUACUUAGAAGAGUGAAGUAUGUGCUCCGCUGAUGCAUCUGGGAGAACAGAGGAGGGGCUCACCUCAGAUUCUGGGCUCCAGGCAACAAGCCAUGGGCUCCAAGCUGUGGGAGAAUCUGUGGGGGUUCUGGGUUCCACUGCAGUCCCACAGUCCUCUAGACCCCAAUCUGGCAAUGUUGUUAC